GAAGCAAAAACACAACCACAACCCAAUUCAGCCCACAAUCCAAACCUCACUGAAUGCCAAAUGACAACCCAAGUCAGCCCACAAUCCAAACCAUCCUCAUAUUAUGCAGCACAUACAACACCAUCCACAUCACUUCCUUCAUCGAAGAGCAGAUCAGAAAAAAGUACAACCUAUAAACAGCGGCAUCUCAAUCCCAACACCACGACAAAGAAAUCACAGCAACAAGAGGCGUGCAUGGAAUCAGAACAAAUAUGAGAAGGCUCACAGUUGGAUGAAACAACCCGGAAGGAAGAAUAAGUAUUGCAAAAGGUGACAGCAGAGUGCCAAGUCGAUCAGCGGCUUGAUGGGAACAUGACUUACCGAAUGUAGCGGUAUAGUACUUAGAGAUGCAAACAUGGCACAGAGAAACCUCCUCGAAACCAGAUGAACCAAGCCAACCACCUUAAAAAACAGGUUUGAAAACUAGCCUGUCCAUAUCAAUCGCUGAAGACCUGCAAAGAAACUAAAAGAGAAAAGAGAAAAACACAACAAAAGGGAAAGCCAGCAUCCUUAGCAUGGGCAAUUAAGAAGGUGGAGGAAAAAACAGAAACAAAGAGAUUUUAGGUAGGGGAAAAUGAAAUCAAACCAAAAAACGCGAAACAGCAACCAUCGGAUCACCACAACAAAUAGAUCAAACUCGAGAAUCUUCAAACAAAUCCCAAACUCGUUCCUCUACCCUUUCACACACUCUCUUUCCUUUCUCUCUUAUUUGUACAAAAUUGAUUAUGAUUAAAUUUAUUUCUUUAUCAAAUGUGAUAGAAUUGAAAAAAAUACAAUAUUUUUAGAUUAAGAUGUCGAUAUUAUAAAAUUACCUUACCUCUCCUUUACCAUGCUUGUUUGAAUCAUUGUACAUUCAAGCAGUAGCACUAACAUGUAUAUACGUAUAUAUUGAAUUUCUUUCUGUGACGAUUAUUGCUAAAAAAUACAUGCCUAACAAUGUUCCCCCGUCCAAACUCCAGAACAAACAACUGAAACAAGAGCACUACAUCUUCAGAGCAGCAUAAACCGAACCCAGCUUGUGGAGGAAACAGGUCCUUAGCCAAGUAUAGCUUCCCCUGUGCCUUGGAUUUCUAGACACCCCUCUGUUAAUGGCAGUGGUGGCUGGCUUUUAACUACACGAGGUGACAUAAAGACCAUCUCACUCCAGACUGUUCAAGCUCUUUAAGAGCUAUUUGAAGCAUCACCCCUCCAUGAUCAUCUUAAUGAAAAUCAAGAUUCCAUUUGUUUUA
rnacentral:lncRNA from 1 species